rnacentral:rRNA from 1 species
UACGUAGGGUGCGAGCGUUAAUCGGAAUUACUGGGCGUAAAGCGCACGCAGGUGGCUGAGUCAGUCGAUUGUGAAAGCCCUGGGCUUAACCUGGGAAUUGCAGUCGAUACUACUUAGCUAGAGUAUGGGAGAGGGCAGUGGAAUUCCCGGUGUAGCGGUGAAAUGCGUAGAUAUCGGGAGGAACAUCAGUGGCGAAGGCGGCUGCCUGGCCCAAUACUGACACUCAGGUGCGACAGCGUGGGGAGCAAACAGG